CCACUCCAUUCACAAUAUCCUCAAAAAAAAAAUAAAAUACUUGGGAAUCAACCUAACAAAAGAGGUGAAAGAUUUAUACAAUGAAAACUACAGAACCCUAAAGAGAGAAAUAGAAGAAGACCUUAGAAGAUGGAAAAAUAUACCCUGUUCAUGGGUAGGAAGAACUAACAUCAUCAAAAUGGCGAUAUUACCCAAAGUUCUCUAUAGGUUUAAUGCAAUGCCAAUCAAAAUCCCAACGGCAUUUCUUGUAGAAAUAGAUAAAGCAAUCAUGAAAUUCAUAUGGAAAAACAAAAGACCCAGAAUAGCAAAAGCAAUUCUAAGCAGGAAGUGUGAAUCAGG
rnacentral:lncRNA from 1 species